rnacentral:rRNA from 1 species
UUUGAAAUCUGGCUGUCUUCGAUAGUCCGAGUUGUAAUCUAUAGAAGCGUUUUCCGUGCUGAACUGUGUCUAAGUCCCUUGGAACAGGGUAUCAAAGAGGGUGAUAAUCCCGUACUUGACACAACCAUCAGUGCUCUGUGAUACGUUCUCUACGAGUCGAGUUGUUUGGGAAUGCAGCUCAAAAUGGGUGGUAAAUUCCAUCUAAAGCUAAAUAUUGGCGAGAGACCGAUAGCGAACAAGUACCGUGAGGGAAAGAUGAAAAGCACUUUGGAAAGAGAGUUAAACAGUACGUGAAAUUGUUGAAAGGGAAACGAUUGAAGUCAGUCGUGUUCAUUGGAUUCAGCUAGUUCUUCUAGUCUACUUCCUUUGAACGGGUCAACAUCAGUUUUGUCCGGUGGAUAAAGGAUUUAGGAAUGUGACUCCCUCGGGAGUGUUAUAGCCUAGGUUCACAUACACUGGGUGAGACUGAGGACUGCAGCUCGCCUUUUGGCCGGGGUUCGCCCACGUUCGAGCUUAGGAUGUUGACAUAAUAGG